UACGAAGGGGGCUAGCGUUGUUCGGAAUUACUGGGCGUAAAGCGCGCGCAGGCGGUUUCUCAAGUCAGUGGUGAAAGCCUGGAGCUCAACUCCGGAACUGCCAUUGAAACUGUGAAACUUGAGGACGAGAGAGGUGAGUGGAAUUCCCAGUGUAGAGGUGAAAUUCGUAGAUAUUGGGAAGAACACCGGUGGCGAAGGCGGCUCACUGGCUCGUUUCUGACGCUCAGGCGCGACAGCGUGGGGAUCAAACAGG
rnacentral:rRNA from 1 species